CUUUUAUAGCAUCAAAGUUUCUUGAUUUUUUUGGUUUGAGAUUGCCAUGUCCUGGUGAUGGACUUCUUUUUGGUACUGUUCCAAAUCGGAAUUUAUGUUUUCAUAGACUCUUGGUUGAUUUCCCAGCUGAGAAAGUGUCGAAUGUCCAACUCUCCAUAAGAGCAAACUUUCCUUUUACUGAUACUAUUUUAGGGAAAGACCAGAAUUGUGAUUUGAAUUUGAG
rnacentral:misc_RNA from 1 species